ensembl:snRNA U5 U5 spliceosomal RNA
AUAGUCUGGUUUCUCUUCAAGUCGUAUAAAUCUUUUGCCUUCUACUAAGGAUUUACAUAAAGAGGAAUAGUUACAAGUUUUUUUUUAGGAUUUUAAAUAUAUACAUAUAUAUAA